UACGGAGGGUGCGAGCGUUUGUCCGGAAUCACUGGGCGUAAAGGGCGCGUAGGCGGCCUGGCAAGUCGAUGGUGAAAGCCCGAGGCUCAACUUCGGGUCGGCCACUGAUACUGCUAGGCUUGAGUCGACUAGAGGCAGAUGGAAUUCCGGGUGUAGCGGUGGAAUGCGUAGAGAUCCGGAAGAACACCGGUGGCGAAGGCGGUCUGCUGGGGUCGAACUGACGCUGAGGCGCGACAGCGUGGGGAGCAAACAGG
rnacentral:rRNA from 1 species